GUCUGGUGAAAAUCACACCCCUACCCCCACCCGGGCUUUGGGCAUAGCUGCAGGUUAGAUUUAGUACCUGGAGCAUCCAGGGGCCUCAGUUCACCACCCACUGCUGCGGUGGGAGGGUAAAAACCACCCUCCAACCCCA
ensembl:snoRNA